rnacentral:rRNA from 1 species
UCCGUAGGUGAACCUGCGGAGGGAUCAUUACACAAUAAAAUACGAAGGCCGUUCGCGGCUGGACUAUUUAUUACCCUUGUCUUUUGCGCACUUGUUGUUUCCUGGGCGGGUUCGCUCGCCACCAGGACCACAAUAUAAACCUUUUUUAUGCAGUUGCAAUCAGCGUCAGUAUAACAAAUGUAAAUCAUUUACAACUUUCAACAACGGAUCUCUUGGUUCUGGCAUCGAUGAAGAACGCAGC